UAAGGUCCAGAAGAAAUUUGAGUGGAGGAGGAACUUCGCAUAAGUUCUCCUAGGGGCUUUCCUGGGAAGAUGCAAUAGGUUAUCAAGCUAAUUAGCACAGCCUGUGCAUUAAAAAAGAAAGUGAGCGUGAAGAAAGAGCACAUCUCUCCUUGGUGUACAGUUUGUGCAGACAGCAAGUGGCCUGCAAUGAUGAAAUUGUAGCUGUAUGAGACAGAAGGGAGAAGGAGGCAAAGGGGGGGUGAGCUAGCGUAGUGUUGGAGCCAGACAGUCAUGGGAAUUGAGAUGAAGUUGUCAGGAGCAGAGAGAGAUAAGAAAGAAGUACAACAGUUUCUGCGAGCAAGAGUGCAUCAUAAAGGCCAGCUGGAGCUCCAUGCAGAGGGGCUGCUUUGCCCGGGCAGGUUGGCCCAUGGUCUCUUUAGGAAGUACUCGAGGAUUUCAGCAUCGUCUCCCAUGACUGAGCCUGUGCAGGAGCAGGCUUUUUCUGUCCAUGCUCUGCCUUCUGUUGCAUGGAGGAAAACUGUUGGUUCCUUUAUCUUGCAUAUUAAAGGUGGAUUUUGUACCUCUUUCUCUCAGUGAAACAUCCCUGUGGCUAAUUGCAGUGACACUGAUAUUCGAAGGUUUCUAGAGCAGUUCAAUUUAAACAUUGUGACUUUGUGAGCCUGGCAUCGAGUGCUGGAAGGAGCACAUUUAUUGAAGACUUAAAACUAGUGGAGAUGUUGCUAUAUACGCUGUGAGAGAGCUGUUAUGCUUCUUCUCUUUGACUGUAUUAUUUCACUCAUUAGAAUAAACUAUCAGCAAAUCUCCUGUUGUAUGUUCUU
ensembl:lncRNA